rnacentral:tRNA from 1 species
AAUAAAGUGCCUGACUAAAAGGAUUAUUUUGAUAGAAUAAAUCAUGUACCAAAUUACCUUUAUUA